AUUCUGCCCAAGCGGGGAAGGAUGAGAAGCUUCGACCAAGGUUCGACUUGAGCGCCAGCGAGAGAGCGUUGCCGCAGGCAACGACCCGAAGGGCGA
rnacentral:sRNA from 1 species